CUGGCUUUCUUAGGGUUUCAGUCUUAACCCUCAAAGUUUCUUAUCAAGUUACCAAUAUAAGCUGUCUAAAUUGGACCCGAAACGAUGUAAACAUGUUGCCGUGUGACUCGAAAAGAUGCAGUCUAGAGUACCAUGUAGAUUGCCUGAAUCCGCGGAUUUUUAAAAUUCUCAAAGGAAAUUUUCUUACUCAGGUCGUCUUUGAUAUCGAUGAAUCAUUGAGGACAGAAGUGGCUAAGAAAUAUUUGGAUAAUGACUCUUUUGGAAGAUUGUACUGGGGAUUUCCAUCUUUAGUUGAUGACAUGGAGGGUUUGCCUCAAAGUCGUGGUUAAGCAACCUAUAUUACGGCAGAUAGUAUAUGUUGUCAUGUGCAGAAGAAAUUAGUAGCCUUGUGAAUUAUCUCAACACAAGUGAUCAUGUGGUGGUACACUUGAGAGAUUCUAUUUUAGAUUGGCAAAGUCUAAGUUCUUCAUUAGCGCGCAAACAAACAACACAUACUUCAGUUGAGACGCACAUGGCUAAUUCCACAGACUUGAAUAAAUCUUCCAAGAAACCUGACAGGAAUGCCUGUCCUGUAUUAA